rnacentral:misc_RNA from 1 species
AAAAAAAAAAAAGAAAAAUAAAAAGGGAUUAGAAAAAUAAAGAGAGAAUUAGAUUAAUUUAAGUAUAAAAAUAUUAUCAUGAACUAAAUAAUUAAUAUAAUUAAAUUAUAAUAAUUAAUUAAUUAAUUUUAUUAAAAUAAAGAGAUUAAAUAUUAAUUAGGUUGAUAUUAUUAAUGAAAAAAUUAAUAAAAGAAUUAAAUAAUUUAAUAAAAAUAAAAUAUAUAAAUAAAAUAAUAUAUUUUUAAAAAUAUAAAAUUAAAUAAUUAAUUUUAUAUAAGGUCGUACAAUUAUUGCAAGUAGGAGGAAGCAGCAUUCCAUUAAAAACAAUAA